rnacentral:piRNA from 1 species
UGGUGGUCGAUCCACGAUCUACUGUGUGU